GAAAUGAAUAAUGCGUGUAUUAAAUAAACUAAAUUUUCUAUUAUAGAUCAAGAGGGACGAGGGAUAGACCUUAACCGAGAAAAAGGCAAGGUUGUGAAAUAAAUCACAAAUUUGCCAUAUUUUACACUGUGGUAAGUUGUGUACAAGCAAUUCAACAACUCCAAUAUUACAUAUCUAAUAUUUGACAUUACAUGAUACAUGUAUGUAUGCCUUAAUUAGAUUGACUUGUGAUUAUCCAAUGAAAGUUUAGUGAUAGCCUCGUGUAUUGAAGGCCCGGGUGACCCAAAGGAAUACUUAGAACUUAGAUGUCUUGACGCCAUGUUAAAUGAUAUUCUGUGUAAGAUUAUGUCUGAGACAUAGCAUCGCCUAUGAUAUAUUUACCUGUGUAAAACCAUGUCUGGGACAUGACAUCAACAAUGAUAUAUGUACCUGUGUAAACCCAUGUAUGGGACAUAGCAUGACAUCAACGAUGAUAUGUGUGCCAAUGUAAGAACAUGUCCAGAACAUGGCAUAGGUUAUGAAAUGUGCACAGUAUAAGACCAUGUCACAGACACGGCAUCAAUGAUAAUAUGUGAAUUCAUGUAAGACCAUGUUUUAGACAUGACAUUGGUACCUUAUUUGGUGUAUGACAUUCAAGAUAUUGGGUUAAGUGGAAUGAUGAGUAAGCACAUACAGUGCAAAUAUGUGCAAAUAUGUACGUAAACCUCAUGAGUAUUGAACUCAAUUCAUGAAGAGAAUUUUAACAAUAGAAAGAUGUAAGAUAAGCUUAAUGUUUAAUGACAAUUAAUGUCAAUUUUGACUACGUUCAUGUGUAUAGUAUGAUAUUAUAGUGAUAGUUGAUAAUAUGUUUAAUCCAUGAAUAUCUUGACUUACUAAACCCUAUGCUUACCCUUUUCACCUUUCAAAUUUCUUCUAACAUCGUCAAGCUCGAGAAUCGUGGACAUCGAAGCUUGAGUCACAAUAUCAACAAAACUUUUGGGGUAAAACUGGUUUACUACAUUUAAGAAUGGCAUGUAUAGAAGAGACAUUUAUCUAUCAAGCAUAAAUUUCACAUGACCGUAUGUCUACAUUUAAGUAUGGCAUAUAUAGAGGAGUCCCAAUUAGGUAAACUUAAUAUAUGUCAUGCUUAAAUUAAAGCUAUAGAUGUCAAAAAAAACUUUUUAUGCCAUGUCAACCACUAUUGGCUAUUGGCAUGUGAGUGUGUGUUGGGGCUAUUAACGGUGACAAGAGGGCUUGAAAAAUGGCUUCAAAGAUGUCCACAUGAGUAGACAUACGAUCAUGUGUCUAUACAGUGUGUGACACACAGUCAACCCCGUGAGCGUGUGAUCCGACCGUGUGUUCCCUGCUCUCUAAUUUUACAAAUCAAUAUGCAUAGUAAUAAAUACAAAGACAGAGACACGACCUUGUCUCUCAAUCGUGUUAAGAACACAACAUUCGAACAUGGGCAUUUGCCCGUGCCAUAUGAAAUUUGCAUCUUAUAUGAGAAAAUUAAUUUCGCCACACAGCCUAACACCUAGACAUGUAACUUAACCGUGUGAUAUUAAAUUUAUGCUGAGGUCAUAAAUAAAGAGCUACACAACCUAAGGACACAGAUUUGUCAAGGGGAACACAAGCUUGUCCUUAUGUUCACACGAACAUCAAACUUGUCCUUACGUUCACACGAGCAUCAAGCUUGUCCUUACGCUCACACGAGCAUGUGACCCUAUUUUAAAUUUUUUUUCUAAAAUACACAAUUUAGCCCAAAACCAACCCAAUGUAUGUUUUUAACCUCGCAAGCUCAUUUAAGUGACAAUAUGCAUAUUCUUAAAUAAAUUUUUAGUUUGAACAAAAUUUUAUGACCCGAUUUUAUAGAGUUGUUUAGAACUUCAAGCCCGAUAAUACCUCACAUCCUAUCUCGACGUUGAACACUAGUAAAGGGUCUUACAAGCCAUCUGGAGGUUUACAGGAAGGGAAUCCUCUUAGACCUUUUCUUUUUCUAAUAUGCAGUGACAAAAAGAAGGUUUGUUGAAAGGUACAAAGGCCAAUAGGAGAGGCCCAGAGAUAUCAUAUUUACUUUUUGUAGAUGACUGCAUUUUGUUCGUUGAAGCAACAAAGAAUGGAGCAAUAAUGAUGAAACAAAUUCUAAAGGAAUAUGAGUAUUGUUCAGGCCAGUGUGUGAAUUUUAAUAAAUGCACGAUAUUUUAUAGCUCGGAUACAGUAACAAGUAUAGACAAUUUUAAGGGUAAGGAGUUAACCAAAUUUGAAGAAAUACUUGGGACUUCCUAUUGUGGUUGGCACACGCAAGAAAGAAUCUUUUCAAAAUCUCAACGAUCGGGUCUAUUCUAGAAUUAAAGGUUGUAGCACAAAACUAUUAUCACAAAGAGGCAAACUGGUCUUUAUUAAAUCAGUGCUACAAGCUAUACCAACUUAUGCCAUGUCAUGCUUUCUUCUACCGAAAACUCUAUGCAAGGAGUUGAAAAACAUAUUUGCAAAAUUUUGGUGGCAGAGGAUACGGGGAGAAAGGUAUACAUUGAUGUCGGUAGAAGCAUAUGUGCCAAUCGAAAGAGGGGGGAGGAAUAGGUUUUAGAAGUAUGGGCCAAUUCAAUAGUGAUCUUUUAGUAAAACAAGGAUGGGGGAUUUUGAAUAAUCCAAAAUCUUUAGUUGAGCUAGUUUUCAAGGCAAAAUAUUUUCCAAAUGAGGAUUUUUUAAAUUCGCGUUUGGGAAAUAAUAGUUCGUAUACAUGGAAAAGCAUAUGGGCGUCCAAAGGGAUUUUAAUGGAAGGAAUUUGCUAGAAGCUGGGAAGGGGGCACGAGUAUCUCAUUUUUAAACGAUGCUUGGAUCCCAGUUGCAUGAAAUUUCAGAUUAUCUUCAGUUGUUAAUAAUUUAAAUGAUUUUAAAGUCGCUGAGUUAAUUGAUAAUAAUGUCAGAGAAUGGAAACGGGAGUUGAUUGUUAAUACCUUUUCGGAGGAAGUCGCUGCGAAGAUACUUAGGAUCACGUUGGCGAAAGAUCCUUAUGGUGACUUUCCGGCCUGGAAUGGUGAACCCUCGGGGGAAUACUUGGUACACAGCGCCUAUAAACUAUUACAAGCUUCUGAAAAUGAUCCUAGAGCUUAUGCUUUACAAACCGACUACAGUAAUUUCUAUAAAAAGCUAUGGCUACUUAAGCUACCUUCUAAAAUUAAAAGUACAGCUUGGAAAAUAUCUUGGAAUUAUCUGGCUACAUGAGUCAGCAUGCAGUAUAGAAAGUUAACAAAUACUGUAGUUUGCCCCCGAUAUGGAAGAGGAGCAGAAACCAUGGAUCAUUUAAUCCGUGAGUGUCCUCUAUCAGUUUCAAUGUGGACAGAAUUAGCAAUACCGAAUUUAUUACAGGAAACUAGUCUAGAGUUCCUACAGUGGCUUACCUGGGUUUUUGCUCAAAACGCUUAUUUCCAUUGUAGAUUAUUCUGUUGUGCGAUAUGGGCAACUUGGGGAGAAAGAAAUGCGAGAUUGCAUGAGAAAACUAGUAGAACAGGAAUAGAGACAGCACACUUUGUUAGAAGCUACAUUGCGGAAUUAGAUGGGGUUGAACAAAAAACCCCUAAAAUCUUACAAAUAGCCAGGAAGUGGAAGCACCCACCUGAACAAUCAGUUAAAAUAAAUUUUGAUGGGGCUUAUGAUGCGCGACUUUGUCAAUCAGCUUUAGGGGUUGUGGCGAGGAACAGUGAAGGGGAUGUUCUACUAUCAAGUUCCAAGAUACAUCAAGGCAUUUCCUCAGCUUUUGCGGCUAAGGCACUCGCUUGCCGCAAAGUAGAUUAGAUCGGAAUAGACAUGCAAUGGCCAAAGAUCAUAGUAGAAGGAGACUCAUUAACAGUAAUCAAGAAGUGUAAGGCAAAAAGACAAGAUAAGUCACAGAUAGGGGCAUACAUUCAAGAUAUUCAACAGCAUAUUCUCAGAUCUAGGAAUUUUGUGUUUGAAUACUCCUAGAACUGCGAACGGUCUAGUACAUAUUUUAGCAACUGAAACGAUGAAAAGGAAGGAAGUGGUUUACUUGGUAGGGAGCGCGCCUGGAUAUGCUGAUAACCAGUAUGAAAUAGAUAGAAAACGUGAACCAUAUUGAGAAAAGGGGCAGAUGAGAAGAGGAAGAAAGGAAAGUUCGAAAUGGGCAAAUUGCUGGUGCAGCGAUAAAUUCUCCUUGGGAUUAUGAGAUUGGCUUUAAGACGAAUCGGUUGAUGGGUGGUCAGACUGAUUGAUAGUGGAUGGGAUUGUAGAGGAAGAAAGGAAAGUUGAAAUGGACAGAUCAAGGGUUUGGUUUAAUGCUUUCCUUGAAAAUCUGAAACCGUCAUUAUGAAAAAUGACAGACUAAUAGUCAUACGGGGUUUUUUACUAAAAUAAAUUAAAAAAAAAUAUUUAUCAAAAUAGGUUGUCAGCCAGAUUAUUUAUCAAAAUGAG
rnacentral:lncRNA from 1 species